UUUAGAUUAUGAACUCCAUGGGAUAGGGGAUCUUGAUUAUUUAUUCACCUCUAAAGCACCAUGCACAACUAUAGCACUAAAUGCAAAAUAAUAUUUUUUCCAUAAGACUUUAAACCCUGUUAGUUUUGUUACAAUGUUUAUUACCUAUGGAUCUGUGUUUACUCACCCAUUUGUGAGAAGAGAAGGAUAAAACUUUUUUUCAUAUAUUAGAAUUGAUUCAACCUUCCUUCCUUUUUAAGGGAGGAACUACCCCAUAGAAGCUUGAUUUAAAGACCUAGCUUGUAGCUGAUUGGAGGAUGCUUGACUAAAGGUCAUCAUGGGAAAUGUAGUCCUAAACUGGAAGCUAAAGCUUGGGAUAUUGGCAUAAGGAAACAGACACCCAAAAACCGAGAUGACAACAUUUUAUGAAGGUCCAGUGACAUCCGGUUUUCUCACAGGAAACCUGGUCUCUGCCUGUCCAUUGUUUGUGAGAGUCACACUCAUGACCCAGAGCCAAGCUGCAAAGGGAGCAUUACCGCUGUGAAGUUGAUGAGGAAUUGGAGGUGUUUGCCUGACAAUAGCAAGUGUUGAAAUGUUGUGCUAAAUGCAUUCCCUGCAUGGACUACAGAUGCAGAAAAAGAUGAAUCCACAAAAUUAGCGUUUCUCUCUCUUUGCGUGUGCGUGUGUGGUGGUCUUUUGUUGUUGUUUUUGUUUUUUAUGUAGCUGGUUAUAAUCCCAAAGCAUUUAGGACUUGAUCAUGUAAGGUGCUGAGACCAAUUCCUGGCAGAUAACAAGCCCCUGCAUUUCAGUCUGGGUCAGAUCCUAACACAACAAAACCUUUAGAGUGACAACAUGUUUUCCUUUCACAAUAACUUACUUUCUCUAAACUGAGGUUCACUGUAGUAGGAGGGGUUGGGUUUUGUUUUGCACACUGCGGUGUAUUGAAACAAUGAAAGAAGCCAUCUAGUUGGCUACUGUGAGCAAGAUUAUUGUCUCCUUUAAUUGACGUAUGGUGCUUAGAUACCAAGGUGCUCAUCCCUUAGAAAAACCUCAGACUAUUGUAUUACAGUAAUUAUUGUUGCAAUGCCUUUACCCCACCCAGGGAAUCUCCCACAGGGGGGGAAUCUUCAGCUAAGUGGAUAGGUCAAGUUCAUGGCCCCUUUGCACCCCUGAAGCAGCACAAAGGGGCCUUAGUAAAAGGCAAUGUCUGGCCCAGAAUCUGUGAACUGAAGCCAGUGGUAGCUGUACUCACUUGCACGAGGAACAGAUUUGCCCCCAUCCUCUUUAUUAAACACAUGAAGAUCAGAGCAUGUACAUUCUUAGCACAGGGUUAGUUUGAGAGGCAGCCACUUUAGAUGAUGUCACUGAAAAAAAACAACACGGUGGUAUUCUCCAUGACUCAGACCCUGCCCAUAUCCAGUGAAAAGGUGUUGCUCUUAUUCAAGCACCGAUCAUGAAUUGUUCCCUCCAUUCACUGAUUUUACCGAGGAAGUUAAAAAGGGGGUUUAAAUAGGAAACUUUCAGUAAAGGAAAAAUAUGACUGCAGGUGUUCAUGCAAAAGAAGCUGUGUUUUGAUGCUUAUAUGAAGUGGAGAACUGAUGCAGGAGAAGGAACUUUCUUUUUGUGGAGGCAGAAAAAACUGAUGAAGAGGAAUGGAAAUAGAUCCUUUCCUGAGCUCCUCUUGCCAAGUGCUGAGCAUCCUUCACUCCAGCUGGCACCAGAUGGAUUUUAGGGUGCUCAGAACUUUACCAGAUCAGGCACAGAGCGUGAAAUUUACCUUCCUCUCAGAGAGUCAUUGCAGAGCUUAUCCACCAAAUCAGCCCUGAAGUGGUGUGUAGAUGCUGCUCAGUACUUGUGUGGAUUUCAUCCUUUUCACCCUCAUCUCAGUGUGUCUUCAGGGAUGAGGUGUGGGGCAUGCGAUGGAAGACGAGAUAUGGAGUCUGGCAGCAGGAGUGUAUUUAAUCUGAUCAUAUCUGGCACUAACUGUGUAUUCUGUAAUAUACUUUUUAUGUACAAGUUCCUCUCUAUAGAUUAGUUUCUUUAUAUAGGAUCUGAUCCAGCUCCCCUUAAGUCAAUGAGAGUCUGUCUAUUGACUUGAAUAGGUUUUGGAUCAAACCCCUAAAGUGCAGUUAAAACCCGAAAAGUGACUUUGUAUAGGGGUCAUCCUUUCUCUAAAACGUCACUUCUAGAGCAAAUCAUAAAUGGAAGGAUGAUUGUUCUCAUAGCUGGUGUCAAAGGCAUCCUGUAAAUGAUUAUUAAGUAGAGCUAUGUGAAUAAUGGAUUUUUCAGUUCACUCAAAAAACGGAAAAUAAAUAGUUCCAGGUCAAACCAAAAAUGUAAUUUUUUUGAAAAUUCAGCACUUUGAAAAGUAAAACAAAAAAUUAUGUCAGGUUGCAUGAAAAGUUUAGUUUUGACAAAAUCAUUUUGAAUUUGGUCAUUGUUAAAAGUUUGAUUUUAAAAAAAAAUUAAAGGAGCUUUUGAAAGG